UCCCUUCAAUGUCUUGGUCUGGUAAGAUUUUUAAUCACCGUUUCCUUCCUUAUGUAUAGACACGUGAUGUUGUUAAGAACAUUCAUUCAAAAUAGGUUUAGACCAUUGUCAUGUUUGAGGAACUUCGUUGGAGCUAAAAAAAACUGGUUGCUGGCGGUUUGCAGGCGUGAGCCACACAUCAGGUACAUUCAGUAGGCUACUGAAUCUAUUUACUUCAUGCUAGAUAGGAACGAAAUAAUAUGUCUUCUCAAAUUAGAAGAGGAAAGCAAGUUGAGUACGAUUUCUUCUAAAAAUUGUAUGCUAUAUACAACAUCAAGGUGAGUGCUUUUGUAAAGUUGUUGGUUCUGGCAUUCAGUUCAGAGGACAUUCCCCAUGUCAGUACUUUUGGAAUGUAUGCCUUCUAUAUUCCACCUGGUCUUAAAAAAUUGAUGAAAGGAUUUGCCUAUGAAGGAAUACAAAAUCCCGCGGAGGAACAUGCCGUUUUCAGUUCCAUGAGCUUACACUUCUCCAACAUAUCUCGUAGGAAAUUUGCAACUACUGCUCUAAGUUUCUUUUCCAAGGGAACUUAACUGAACCAUUUGAAUAUGCUUCUCAUAUUGAACAUUAUGAUGAUUAUAUAUCAGUGCGCCUACAGUUAAUUUGUAGCCAUCCUUUUUUCAUGACCACAA